AGAGUUUGAUCCUGGCUCAGAGCGAACGCUGGCGGCAGGCUUAACACAUGCAAGUCGAACGGGCACUUCGGUGCUAGUGGCAGACGGGUGAGUAACACGUGGGAACGUACCUUUCGGUUCGGAAUAAUACAGGGAAACUUGUACUAAUACCGGAUAAGCCCUUCGGGGGAAAGAUUUAUCGCCGAUAGAUCGGCCCGCGUCUGAUUAGCUAGUUGGUGAGGUAAUGGCUCACCAAGGCGACGAUCAGUAGCUGGUCUGAGAGGAUGAUCAGCCACACUGGGACUGAGACACGGCCCAGACUCCUACGGGAGGCAGCAGUGGGGAAUAUUGGACAAUGGGCGAAAGCCUGAUCCAGCCAUGCCGCGUGUGUGAUGAAGGCCUUAGGGUUGUAAAGCACUUUUGUCCGGGAAGAUAAUGACUGUACCGGAAGAAUAAGCCCCGGCUAACUUCGUG
rnacentral:rRNA from 1 species